rnacentral:sRNA from 1 species
UCUCUCUCUCUUCUCUUUUUCUC